rnacentral:rRNA from 1 species
AUUGAACGCUGGCGGCAGGCCUAACACAUGCAAGUCGAGCGAGCGGCGGACGGGUGAGUAAUGCCUGGGAAACUGCCUGAUGGAGGGGGAUAACUACUGGAAACGGUAGCUAAUACCGCAUACCAUCAGAUGUGCCCAGAUGGGAUUAGCUAGUUGGUGGGGUAACGGCUCACCUAGGCGACGAUCCCUAGCCGGUCUGAGAGGAAGACCAGCCACACUGGAACUGAGACACGGUCCAGACUCCUACGGGAGGCAGCAGUGGGGAAUAUUACACAAUGGGCGAAAGCCUGAUGGAGCAAUGCCGCGUGUGUGAGGAAGGCCUUCGGGUUGUAAACCACUUUCAGCGGGGAAGCGUUACCCGCAGAAGAAGCACCGGCUAACUCCGUGCCAGCAGCCGCGGUAAUAC